UGAAAUGUAGUUCUAUCAUAAACAGAAGAAUUAAAAAAAGCAUUUAGUAAGGCCCUUUAAGAAUACCACACCCUAGGGCUCCUGACCCCCUUGGUCCCCCUGAAUCCGCCUUUAUCUAUAACCUAUCCUAAGAUAAAUACAAUAUAGCCCGUAAUUGCAUGUACGAUAUAUAGGACUUUUAUCCAUUGGAAUUAAUUGAAAUGCCAUUAAUCCAGCACCCAAAACACCAUCUCAGUUGUUUUUGUUAAGUGUUUUUGAAUAAGAAAAUGAUUUCACGCUUCAACUCAAUAGACAUCUGCGGAUCUGAGCUAUAAUCAAAAGCGAACCCAACUUAUCGAAAAUGCUACGAAAGCGAGGCAACGAGAAACAAGCAAACAGACUGAGGUCUGAAGUUGGAGAAACUGUUAGUGUUGUGUGUAGUGCGCGAUUCCUCGUAUCACAAAUCUUGCUCUCAAAACACUCGAAACAGAAUGUAUCUGUUACUGGCUCUCCUGAUUGGGACCUGUUACGCUAACCAUGGCGUGUGCAGCAUGUCAAACGGUUCAAUAGGGAAAUGUGUAAAACCAGGACAAUGUAAGGCACCUGAUGUUGGUAACUUGAAUGUUUACGGGACAAUACAAAUGGUCUGCCAAACGGGAGAACAAUGCUGUGAUUUUAGAGAUAUAAUCCAAUCUUCUGAUUCACCCAUUACCGUUAAUAAUUAUAUAAAAACUUUAAAUACUAAUAUGAAUAUAGAAUAUAAUUAUUUCAUUUAUAAAAACAAUUUUCAACAAUAUUAUAAAUAGUUUAUUUUUGGUGAGUAAUUACGUUUUAACUUCAAUAAAAUAAAUACCAACCUGUUUUAGCGACACAUACAAUUUGCGACUAUAAAGUUAUUCUGAUUAAAGAUAUACCUAGUCCAGCAAUUAAGUUCUGUUGCAAAUGAAAAUACAAUUAUUUUUACUGAAAUAAUUAAAUAUUAAUGUAUACUUACGUACAUAUUUAUUAAAGUCUCAAAGCAAAAAAUAAAAGGUAUUGUGUUCUAAAUGGCCACUUUUGGCUUUUAUACAGGCCUUUAAUCUGUUUGGACACGAAUUUAUAGAUUUACGUACUAUUUCCAAGGGACAUUUCGCCGCUUGCUCCAAAGGUUUUUCAAGAGACUCAAGGACGCCAUGUCGUGUAGAGCAAGCCAUAUCCUUUAAAACUGACCAUAAUUUGAAGUCUAAAGGGUUGAGGUCUGGUCUAGAUGAUUGCCAGUUUUCAGUUAUUAUAAAGUCCGGAACUAUAUAUUGCCUGUGGCGGAGUGUCAAACGUCACAGGCAUGUAGUCAGACAAGUUUGAAUAAUGUUGGUGAUGUUACAUACAUCACAGAUUAUUCACACUUGUAGUGUGGUUAGUAAAAUUGACGGCAUCAAAUUGUUUCACGCUCCGCCAUUUAUUGUAAUUGUGAUCCAAAAGUAAAAAUCGUGUUAAUUUUUUUUUCCACUUAAUAAAUAUCAUUUU